rnacentral:rRNA from 1 species
AACGAACGCUGGCGGCAUGCCUAACACAUGCAAGUCGAACGAGACCGUCGGGUCUAGUGGCGCACGGGUGCGUAACGCGUGGGAACCUUCCCUUAGGUUCGGAAUAACUCCCCGAAAGGGGUGCUAAUACCGGAUAAUGUCUUCGGACCAAAGAUGUAUCGCCUUUGGAUGGGCCCGCGUUGGAUUAGCUAGUUGGUAGGGUAAAAGCCUACCAAGGCGACGAUCCAUAGCUGGUCUGAGAGGAUGAUCAGCCACACUGGGACUGAGACACGGCCCAGACUCCUACGGGAGGCAGAAGUGGGGAAUAUUGGACGAUGGGCGAGAGACUGAUCCAGCAAGGCCGCGUGAGUGAUGAAGGCCUGAGGGUUGUAAAGCUCUUUUACCCGGGAUGAUAAUGACAGUACCGGGAGAAUAAGCGCCGGCUAACUACGUG